CUACGGGGCGCUGCAGUGGGGAAUAUUGGACAAUGGGGGAAACCCUGAUCCAGCAAUGCCGCGUGUGUGAAGAAGGCCUGCGGGUUGUAAAGCACUUUCGGUUGGGAGGACUGCUUCUAGCACUAAUAUUGUUGGAAGUUGACGUUACCUUCAGAAGAAGCACCGGCUAACUCCGUGCCAGCAGCCGCGGUAAUACGGAGGGUGCAGCGUUAAUCGGAAUUACUGGGCGUAAAGCGCGCGUAGGCGGCUAGAUCAGUCGGGUGUGAAAGCCCCGGGCUUAACCUGGGAACUGCAUCCGAUACUGUCUAGCUUGAGUACAGGAGAGGAGAGUGGAAUUCCACAUGUAGCAGUGAAAUGCGUAGAUAUGUGGAGGAACACCAAUGGCGAAGGCAGCUCUCUGGCCUGAUACUGACGCUGAGGUGCGAAAGCGUGGGGAGCAAACAGGAUUAGAUACCCCCGUAGUC
rnacentral:rRNA from 1 species